GCCUCCGUAGCUCAGCUGGAAGAGCGCGUUCUUGGUAAGGACGAGGUCCCGGGUUCGAAUCCCGGCGGAGGCU
rnacentral:tRNA from 1 species